CAAAUAUCGAAAUCUUUUGAAAUUUGAAACAAACCCCUUUUGUAUUGAUGAUAAGCAAGGGUUUCUUAAUCCACACACAAAGUUUAAGGCUGGGUUUAUUUUUGAACCAGUAUUGAGUGGUCGGAAAUUACAGAGACGGACUCUUAAGUCCUAAAGGGGGUUCAUUCUCAAUGGUUUUAGACCCAAUUCUCAACGGUGAAAAUAUGUGAUUCUGACUAACAUUUUUUAUCGGAUUCGUAUUUGCUCAUUUUUUAUCCAUUUGGC